rnacentral:lncRNA from 10 species
GCAGAAGACUUGUCUCUUGGCGAGGGACGGGCGCCGCUGACCCAGCACGUCCAGGACCAGUCCGUCGGCGGCCCCCACGCGGGUCCUGGGCUCCAGCUCUUCGCCGGGGGGCGCCUCCUGCUGUUCAUCCCCUCCCUCUUUUCGAUCCCCAGCUUCCUCCUCUUCCUCCUCCAGCUCCAACUGCAGUGGCAAGGUCUGGGGAUUGAGAGGCCCGGCAUGACUAAGAGAUAUCGUGAAAUUACAACUCAACAAUGAAUUACAGCACAGGCUUUUCACAACUAAGAGACUGUCCAUCAUGGUGCCAGUUUUUCUCAAAAUGGCAUGUGUGCAUGAAAUUCUACAGGCAUAUGGGGUCGUGAUCUGCUAAUCUCCAGUUAUUAUAACUACUUUGAAAAGGGACUUUCCAGCUAUCAGUACACUAUCUCACAAUUACCCUUGAACCAGAAGACAAUGAAUGAUUUGCUAAACAGAUGGCAUAGUCUAUGACAUGCAUCAUAUGUGUGAGCAAUCACAGAAGACUCCUUCCUGUUGCCUUGUGAAGAAGGCUCCUGCUUCCCCUUCACCUUCUGCGCGAUUGUAAGUUUCCUGAGGCCUCCUAGCCAUGCUUCUUGUUCACUCUGCGGAACUGUCCUGAGCUGAAAAGAAUAUGAGAAAUCGGAUUUUACGACAUAGAGUUGAAAAUUUAUCAUGACAUAUGCUGGCUGCACAGUCAAAACUUAUCACUGCCCACGACUUCGGAAGCAUGACAGGAGAGCUGUGGGAGCCACUUCCUCGUCAGACGUGGUUUGAUAUGUCAAGUGAGAACCUGAGUAAAGCAAAGAGGUGAACUAUGACUUGGAAUCCUCCAGGCUUUGGCUUCCAUCACACUCCAUGAACUUGAUGCACAUAAUUUAAUG